rnacentral:rRNA from 1 species
AUGCUGGGCGUCUCCACCGGCCAGCUUUUGGUCAUCCUCGGGGCCUGCUCCGUGAUGAUGAAGUCCAGUGACAUGAUCAAGAUGGCAAGGGUGGCAGGGAGGAUGACCGGGAGAGCGGUCGGUCGCCUCAUGCUCUACCGCCGGCAGAUGGACGACAUCUUCGAGCAGACUGCAGCGAAGAAGAUUAAUACAGAGCUUCAAGAUGCUAUGUCAAAGUUACAAUCAAUUGGUUAUGAAGUUCAGAACUUAUCUAGAAUAACUCCUGGCCAGUUUAUCAAAAGGCAGCACAACACAGAGAGCAUGACUGAAGCAGGAACAUCUGAUAGUUCUGCAACUCAGUCCGGAGAAUUUCGUGAUGAUAUUCGCAGUAUAAUUCGUGAUGAAAUUGAGAGCUUUUGUAGAAAAAAUCCUGAUCAAUUUACCAGGAGGUUAAAUAAUCCUGACGGAAUUCAGAACUCUGAACAAACAGCUGAAGCUACACAAUUCGAUGUAACUAGUAAAUUUGCAAUGACAUCUAAGGACAUGGAAUCAGCGAAUACAAGCUCUACAAAUCUGCACAGCCAAGCAAUGAUGUAUUCCAAGCUAAGUGUAUCCCCAGGAAUUAAGAUGAGUUCUUCCAUGAGUGUGAGUAAUGGAGAACAAUUCAAAGAGAGCAAUGGACUGCUAAAUGUACUCCCAAUAUCAGCUGAAAGUGCUGGAUUGCUUCCGAAAUACACAGGUGAGCCAAAAGGUUCAGAUAUACUCCUGGAGGCUGUGCUUGAAGCAGAGGUUGCAGAGAACGCUAAAUUUUUCGUCUCCCAGCCUCAUGAUCAGUUGCCCAAGGAGUAA